GAUAUCUGAAACCUUCAUAGCAACAUCUUCAAAUUACCUCUUGAUGCUUCCAUUGGAUUUGUGAUGUGAAGGUGCUUUCCAAGUUUAUCAGACGGAAGGAAACAAAUCGCCCGGCGAUGAUCAACAUUUAAGCCCAAUCAUUCAUCACUUCCAUUUUAAAAUUUUGUAAUUGAAUAUCUUGUAUUCUGUUAGUGUUUCAU